UGUGUUCUUAAUUUUUUUUUUCUUUUCGACAUCUUUAACCUUUUUCCAUUCUUAUCACCUGAAAAUCUAACCCUAAUUUUAAUCGUAUCUUUCGAAUAAUUGGGUUUUGCUAUCAUAUUUUGGUUGUUUUAUUCUGUUUCUUUUGCCGUUAUUAAUGUGGUUUUUGUUUCCUUCUGUUCUUUUUUCAACCGUGGUGUAUGCAGUAUUGAAGUCAUGUUGUCUGUAUCAGUGGCUACAACAAUGUCUCUCAUCUUCAGUUGGCUUAAAUUCAAUUGGUUAGAGGUAAACUAUUUGUGUCUGGUAUUAAGUUAUGGCAAGAUGCGGAGAAAUCUGCUAGAUUUGUUUGGCCUCAUUUGAAACGCAAUAUCAAUGGCUGAUACUGGUAAGAUCACUGGAACCCAAUACAUAUGCUAUUAAAUUCUAUACUACUGAGGAUAAAAAUGUAAUUUUAUUUGGAGGUGCUUGGAAUUUUGAUGGACACCUUAUAGUUCUUAGAUAUUGGCAUCCCUCUUUUCCAUAUCAACAUCUUAACUUUGAUACCUCACCAUUCUGGCUUGAGUACAAAUAUCUCCUUCAUGAGUUCACUUACCCAGAGGUUUUAAGACUUUCUGGAGAUAUGGUUGAUGAAACGAUUGUUGUCGAACCAAAUGGAAUUCAUCCUACAACUUCAACAAAGUUUAGAGCUAUGAUAAUGAUGAAUGUUAACACUCAUAUGACUAAAGUUAUUCAUGCUGCUAAUGCUGCGGGUGUUCUCGUUGGGAAGACAAGGCGUAUAAAUAUGGAAAGCACUAUAAGACAUUUUGGCCCUGUUGUUGAACCAGUGAUCUUACCAAUCCGAAAUCCACAAGAGCUUGUUGAUUUGUUUAUGCAGCAUGGUCAUUAGAGAAAAUCCAAUCUUCAAGAACUGGAUACAUCUGAUCUUGGUCCUUUAGAUGAGAUGUUGUAACAUGGACUCGAUGGUUCUCUCUGAUGAGGAAACUGACCAAGCUUCUACAAGUCAUCAAGCAUCAACUAGUCAACCAGAUAAUGCUAAUUCAAUGUGAAUUUUGAGCCAACAUCUUCGAACAUUGUUGCUAGAGAUCAACCUCUUGAUCAUAAUCUCACGCUUGACAGACAAUAGGAUUGGAUUCAACUUGUGAAGCAAUGCAUUAGUACAACCAGUAUUUCGCUUCUCAUAAAUGGAUGUCCUUCGGAAGCUUUUACUCUCACUGUGGAAUUAGACAAGGUGGGUACUGGAAUAUAUGGAUCACUGGAUUUCUUGUGAAUCUUCGGCACUGUAUAAGUUGGAUGAUCUUUCUACCAAUGACAUUCAAUGGGUCAGUUGAUUAAUGCAGACCAAUCACAAUAUGUUUCAUUAUUACAUCAACUUUUUACUACUCAUCAUGUACAUUCAAUCUUAACCAUUCCUCUUAAUAUACAACAAGAAGACACUUUAGUUUGGCCUCUUACUUCUACUGGUACAUUCACUACAACCUAUAAUUACAAUCACUUGUACAGUAUACAUUCACCUUCUAUACCUUCUUCUCUUAGUACAUAUUUUUGGUUAAAAUUCUGGAAACUCAAGAGGACUUAUACAUAUGUUGUGUGAUACUAAUCAUAUUGAGGAUGCCAUCCACUUAUUCUUCAACUGUCAUUUUGCAAUAUAGAAUACAUGUCUACCACAACAUUAUAAUCAUCUUCAACAGUAUCUCAAUCUGCAUGACUGGUUUGCCUCUUGGAUUUCUCCAGCUUCUGCUAUUAAUUUUUCAUCAGACAAUCCUUCCAUUCAUGCAAUCACUACAAUUAUGAACCUUGGGCACUUCUUGAAGCUAAACAAUAUGGAUAAAAGGUUUGUAAGAAAUACUUCAAUAUUUCUUAAGUCAGAAGUGCCCAUUGCAUAGCUUCAAGAAGUGCCCAAGUUGAAGCUAUGCAAUGGGCACUAAGUCAUAAUUUGGAUAAAGUUAUCUUUGAGCCAGAUUGUAAAAGUUUAAUUAUGUGUAUACAACAAGAUUUGGUUCUCCCUCCUUGGCAGUCAUCUUCUUUGUUAAAUAAGUGUGCUAAGAUAUAUAAACAGUAGUGUAACUGGACCUGUAAUUAUGUUCCAAAGGUGUAUAAUAAAGCGGCAGAUUGUUUAGCCAAAUCUGUCUGUAACUUUGUAACGAAGGAUAAUGGUGGCAUCAUCAUCCUGAUAUACUCAAUGAAAAACUGGCUACUGAUGUAUCUUUAUCUAUCUAUCAUAUAAUAA